rnacentral:rRNA from 1 species
GACGAACGCUGGCGGCGUGCCUAAUACAUGCAAGUUGAGCGCUGAAGGUUGGUACUUGUACCGACUGGAUGAGCAGCGAACGGGUGAGUAACGCGUGGGGAAUCUGCCUUUGAGCGGGGGACAACAUUUGGAAACGAAUGCUAAUACCGCAUAAAAACUUUAAACACAAGUUUUAAGUUUGAAAGAUGCAAUUGCAUCACUCAAAGAUGAUCCCGCGUUGUAUUAGCUAGUUGGUGAGGUAAAGGCUCACCAAGGCGAUGAUACAUAGCCGACCUGAGAGGGUGAUAGGCCACAUUGGGACUGAGACACGGCCAAAAAUCCUACGGGAGGCAGCAGUAGGGAAUCUUCGGCAAUGGACGAAAGUCUGACCGAGCAACGCCGCGUGAGUGAAGAAGGUUUUCGGAUCGUAAAACUCUGUUGGUAGAGAAGAACGUUGGUGAGAGUGGAAAGCUCAUCAAGUGACGGUAACUACCCAGAAAGGGACGGCUAACUACGUG